rnacentral:misc_RNA from 1 species
AUGAAGACGGGUCUUGGACCCCUCAUCCCUCAACCCGUGGAAGUGAGAUGUGCUUCGGCGCCUCUGGGCGUCGAAUCUAUGCAGUAUAGCUUGUGUCUGAAGAGAAACAAAACAUUUA